AGAGAGAGACAUGCGCGCAUAUCAAUAAGCGGAGGAAAAGAAACUAACAAGGAUUCCCUUAGUAACGGCGAGUGAAGCGGGAAGAGCUCAAAUUUGAAAUCUUCAAGGUUUUACCUUGACGAAUUGUAGUUUAAAGAAGUGUUUUCUGCUGAAGUUUUGGUAAAAGUUCUUUGGAAUAGGACAUCAUAGAGGGUGAGAAUCCCGUAUUUGACCAUUAUUUUCAGCUUUGUGAUACACUUUCAAAGAGUCGGAUUGUUUGGGAAUGCAGUCCAAAAUGGGUGGUAAAUUUCAUCUAAAGCUAAAUAUUGGCGAGAGACCGAUAGCGAACAAGUACCGUGAGGGAAAGAUGAAAGGAACUUUGAAAAGAGAGUUAAACAGUACGUGAAAUUGUCAAAAGGGAAGCGUUUGACACCAGUGUUGUUUUCUCGAAAAUCAAUUAAAAAUGGCUAGAUUUUGUAUUGUAUUGAGACUUUAUCAAGCUUCACUGCUACAUCUUUUCGUGUCUUUUUUAAUGCACUUUUCGUUUAACAAGUCAACAUCAGUUUCUUUUGUUGUAAAAGGGUCAUUGGAAGGUGGCUUUCUUUUCGGAGAAAGUGUUUAUAGCCUUUGGCCUCUGCAAUCGAAGAGACUGAGGUCUGCAGCGUAGACUCUUCGGGGUUAGAUACAUUUGUGCUAAGUUAUAGCUUUUUAUAGACAACUUGUUGACUAUAAUUAGUCUUGUAGCUUACUCGCUUAUGCUAUUUUACCUACGCUUAGGAUGUUGAAGAUGUAGCACAUCAU
rnacentral:rRNA from 1 species